GGUGGCCCAAAAGGAGUUAAGUGACUUGCCCAGUUUUCCAGGUACUUCAGGAACAGGGCAGCUUCCUGACUGAUGAAAAAGCAAGAUUCCAAACAAAAAGGAAUUUAAAAGACUCCUGGACUCACAUGAUCUUGUCACCAGAAGGGACCCCAGGGAUCAUGCAGUUGAAUGACUUCAUUCUACAGAGAAGGAAACUUGAGUACCAGAAAUGGAAGUGAUUUGAUACUUAGAAACUUCUUCCUACAAAUUCUCUCUUCCAGAAGAAGAACAAACAUUCUCCCAGCAAGAGAACAAACGGAACUCUGAAAUAUGUCAAAUCAUGCUUAAAGAGACUUUUUAAAAGCUUCACCAGUGAGAAAGCACACAGAGAGACAGGUCUCAUUUUCAUCCAAGUGACCAGAGACUGGGAGUAAAAUGGCAGUUCAGUAGUACAUGAUAUAUGGAGGAACAUCAUGGUUCAGCAGUACAGGAAGGAUUCCUCAGCAGGAAGACUAGAACUUUGGACUUGAUUCCAGCUUUACUGCUAAUGGAUGAAGAAAUGGUGAUUUAGAGCAACUGAUCUGGUUCAUGAGGGUAUGAAGCAGUUGAGCAACAAUCUGAACCCAGGGCUUAAUCUCCUUGGAUUUCUUCAUCUCCUACAGUAAAGGCAAUGGUGAUCUUUCCCCAUCUUAGUGGACAGAUGUUUCCUUUAAGCCAAGAUAAGAGGAAGUAAUCAAAAAAGGAAAUUCAAAAACAACAAAAUGACUACAACAAUGACAACAACAACAACAAUAAAAAUCUUCUUCCCUUACAUGAAUCUGGAUAGAUUCUCCUAUGACAUGCAUUUGAAGUGCUGCAGCUUAUCUAUGUUCUUCCUAAAAUGUGCUCUGGAUGUCAGCUGACCUGUGUAAUCAACAAUAUAACCAUCACUUCGUUCCUUUUUUUUAAUGAGGUUUGCAUAUCGUCUUGGACAUUUCUCUAUCCUUCUCUUAUUCUUUUAUAUUUGAAGAUGUGCAGAGUUACAAGUACAGGUAGAUAAGUACAGGUGGACGCUUUUGUAGUUGAAUGUAAGCUCAUCCUCCCUAAGCUUACCAAGAACAUCCUCGGCACAGUUCUAGGAGUUGAAAAGACAGUAGGGAUGAAACAUAGUAUCUUUGAUCUUCUCUCUUAGGGCUCUGGAUUUGCAAAGUCUUUGUCCCAUGUUGCUUGGAGAUUGUGAGUAUUUUGUAUGGCAAUAUGUAUUACAAACACCGUUCUUAGGCUUUUAUGUUAUUUGGGGGGAAGCUAGGCAGGAGAACAGGGCUUGGGAUUGGGAAAACUACUUUUUUUGAAUUCACAUCUGACCUUACUGACUAGCUUAUGUGACUCCAGGCAAGGCACUUAACCUGUUUGCCUCAGUAUCUGCAAAAUGAGCUAGAGAAGGAAAGGGUAAAUCAUACAGGUAUCUUUGCCAAGGAAACACAAAGGGGAAUCAUGAUAAAUUGGACACAGCCGAAAAUGACAGUAAUUGUUGUUUUGGAGCUUAAUAGUUUGGUGUGUGAUAAUGUUCUAGAUGCAGGACAACUAUUGGAUAAGUUCUCCAACUUUAGGAGGGGGGAGUGUCUGUAUUUAAAGUAAUUGAUUUGUGAUUUAUUAAUCAAUCAAUCAAUAAACUUUUAUUAAGUACCUGCUAUGUACCUAUUCUGGACAAGUGCUAGUUCUUGAAAGAUGAGUUAGCAAAUCUUGUCUUGUGAAAUAAAUCAAGCCUUUCACAGUCUGUAGUGAUAUGAUGUCCUUCUUAAGGAUAACCCAACAGUCAUUUCUGGCAGUAAUGAACUUACCUUGAAUUGCCGACAUAAGCCAUUCUAAUCCAAAAAAAGAAAUACACAUGAUUCAGACUUCAACGUGACACUGCUGUAUCCAUGUCACACAUGCUAUGUUCAUGCAGAUUGUUACCCAUGAAGGACCUUUUGACUCCAUUUUCAGAUGACUUUUCAUCGAGAACCAAUUUCCUAUUAUCAGUCUUGAUGGUUAAAUAAUGUCUGCUUCUUCCAAAGGUAUUUCUAUAUAUCAUUGACCUUUACUAUGAGCUCUGAGAAUAUUUAUCAAUAUUCUGUCUCUAUUGGGCAAGGAAGGAUUCAGCUUUCCAUAGUUUUCUUAGGGUAACAGGCCCUGUGUUUCAUUACUAUUGUAUAGGUUUUUGUUAGGAUUCUUUUUGAGUUAAAAUGGUUACACCUCUGUGUGUGUGUGUGUGUGUGUGUGUGUGUGUAUGAGUCUGUUAUGAUUACAUCUAUAUGUGUGUGUAUGUGUAUACAGAUAGACAGAUAUAGUUGUAUUGCAUAAAUGUUAAUUGCUUUAAAUGUGUCCUUUCCAUUUAGCUUUGAAUUCAGGAUGCCAGUAAGUUUGUUAACACACACUAACCAUACUCUUCUCCCUGAUAUCUUUUUUGCCUAAUUUGUUGUGAAGAAAAAGUCUAAAGUAUUUUUAGGUAUCACCUUCAUUCCUUCAUUCAUUAGUUCAAUGUGAUCUUCAAGUUAAAGAGAAUCCUUUUUUUUUUUUAGUCUCUGUCUC